GAUGAACGCUGGCGGCGUGCCUAAUACAUGCAAGUCGAGCGAACAGACGAGGAGCUUGCUCCUCUGACGUUAGCGGCGGACGGGUGAGUAACACGUGGAUAACCUACCUAUAAGACUGGGAUAACUUCGGGAAACCGGAGCUAAUACCGGAUAAUAUUGAACCGCAUGGUUCAAUAGUGAAAGACGGUUUUGCUGUCACUUAUAGAUGGAUCCGCGCCGCAUUAGCUAGUUGGUAAGGUAACGGCUUACCAAGGCAACGAUGCGUAGCCGACCUGAGAGGGUGAUCGGCCACACUGGAACUGAGACACGGUCCAGACUCCUACGGGAGGCAGCAGUAGGGAAUCUUCCGCAAUGGGCGAAAGCCUGACGGAGCAACGCCGCGUGAGUGAUGAAGGUCUUCGGAUCGUAAAACUCUGUUAUUAGGGAAGAACAAAUGUGUAAGUAACUAUGCACGUCUUGACGGUACCUAAUCAGAAAGCCACGGCUAACUACGUG
rnacentral:rRNA from 1 species